rnacentral:rRNA from 1 species
GACAGAGGGUGCAAGCGUUGUUCGGAAUUAUUGGGCGUAAAGCGCGCGUAGGCGGCUUUGCAAGUCGGGUGUGAAAUCCCCAGGCUUAACCUGGGAACUGCAUUCGAGACUGCAUUGCUAGAGUAUGGGAGAGGGAAGUGGAAUUUCCGGUGUAGCGGUGAAAUGCGUAGAUAUCGGAAGGAACAUCAGUGGCGAAAGCGACUUCCUGGACCAAUACUGACGCUCAUGUGCGAAAGCGUGGGGAGCAAACAGGG